AAAAUAUUUAAUAUAAUAUUUUUUUAACUAUUAUGCUUAAAAAAAUAGUUAAAAAAAUAUGGGGGUUUAUACUCUGGGCAGAAAAGUUUGAUUUUAGCUUAAUGAUUUAUUUUAUAAAUUUUAUACAUGUAAUAGGGCAGUAUUUUAUAUUAUGAAACUAAUUUAGGCAUAAAAAUUUAUGUAAAUUCUGAAUAAAUUUUGUGCCAGCAUUCGCGGUUAUACCUUACGGUUUAAUAAAUCUUCUUAGAAAAUUUAAUAUAAAAGUUAUUUACAGUAAAAAAUUAGGUGAAAUUGAGUUUUAUUUUAUGUAAACUUAUAUUUUAAUUAAAACUUUAGUUAAAAGACCUGGAUUAGAUACCCAGUUAUUUAUUUUAUAAAAUAUCUAAGGUAGUAAUUUUUAAAACCUAAAGAAUUUGGCGGUAUUUUAUUCUUAUUAGAGGAACCUGUUAGUUAAAAGAUACCACACUAUAAUUAACAUUAAAUUUUCUUAUAUACCGUUGUCUUAAGAAUUAAUUUGUAAGUUUUUUCUAAAAUUUUUAUAUGAUUUAAGUCAAAUCAAGGUGUAGAAUUUUAAUGGCUCAAUGGGUUACAUUUAUUUAAAUAAUGGUUUUAUAUUUGGUAACUAUAGAUAAAUUGGAUUUAAGAGUAAUUUUAUGUUAAUAAAAUUGAAUUUAGCUCUAAAAUAUGUACAUAUCGCCCGUCGCUCUAGUUAUAAAAUUAGAUAAGUCGUAACAAAGUAGAUUUUCCGGAAGGAGGAUCUUGAGUAAU
rnacentral:ncRNA from 1 species